ACCAGGUGGGUGAUUCCCCUCUAAUCAGGGACUGGUUUAGACCUGGGACACCAGGUGGGUGAUUCCCCUCUAAUCAGGGACUGAUUUAGACCUGGGACACCAGGUGGGUGAUUCCCCUCUAAUCAGGGACUGAUUUAGACCUGGGACACCAGGUGGGUGAUUCCCCUCUAAUCAGGGACUGGUUUAGACCUGGGACACCAGGUGGGUGAUUCCCCUCUAAUCAGGGACUGAUUUAGACCUGGGACACCAGGUGGGUGAUUCCCCUCUAAUCAGGGACUGGUUUAGACCUGGGACACCAGGUGGGUGAUUCCCCUCUAAUCAGGGACUGAUUUAGACCUGGGACACCAGGUGGGUGAUUCCCCUCUAAUCAGGG
ensembl:lncRNA